AGGUAAGGAACCUGCAGGGACCGAUGGCUUUACGCAUUCGGUGCGGGGUUUGCUGGCCCGAGUGCCGGCUAGCGCGAAGGGGAGUAGUCAGGUCGAAUGUUAAGAACGAGGUUAAACCACAGCCAGGGUGGGCGUGGCCUAGGGAUCCCCGUAGGCGGCCUGGGCUACGGAGGGUGAGUUUGGUGAAAACGUCAGCAGAGAUUAAAAGGCAAGAACACGCAAGGUUUGGAGGCACCGCGAAUCAGUGCGAAGGCGGAGUCUCGCGCCGCACGGGCGGACGCUGCGUCGGGGGCGGAGUCUCGCGCCGUAAUAGAUUGACGCCGCGGCGAGGGGCGGAGCCAGCAGCGCUUCAAGAUGGCGGCGGCUACUGCAGCCGGCCUGGCCACGAACGUGUUUCCGUUCCGCGAUGCCCGCGCAGCGCCAGAUCCGGUGCUGGAGGCCGGCCCGGUGGCACACGGGUCACUACCGGUGCCACUGGUGCUGGACAAUGGGUCGUUCCAGGCCCGCGCAGGCUGGGCGUGCCCCGGGCCGGACCCGGGCCCCGAGCCCCGGCUGCAGUUCCGCGCUGUGUGCGCCCGCGGGCGGGGUGGGGCUCGGGGCGGGUCGGGCCCGCAGGUGGGAAACGCGCUGGGCAGCUUGGAGCCGCUGCGCUGGAUGCUGCGAUCGCCCUUCGACCGCAACGUGCCGGUGAACUUGGAGCUUCAGGAGUUGCUGCUUGACUACAGCUUCCAGCAUUUGGGUGUCUCCUCACAGGGCUGUGUUGAUCAUCCCAUAGUUUUGACAGAAGCCGUGUGCACCCCACUGUAUUCACGACAGAUGAUGUCUGAACUUCUCUUUGAGUGCUACGGGAUUCCUAAGGUUGCCUAUGGGAUAGACAGCCUCUUCAGCUUCUACCACAAUAACCCAAAGAACAUGAUUUCAAGUGGGCUCAUCAUUUCGUCUGGUUAUCAGUGUACACAUAUUUUACCCAUCUUAGAAGGGAGGUUAGAUGCUAGAAACUGCAAGCGCAUCAACCUGGGAGGAAGCCAGGCAGCUGGCUACCUCCAGCGUCUCCUGCAGCUGAAGUAUCCCGGGCACCUGGCCGCCAUCACUCUCAGCCGCAUGGAGGAGAUCCUCCACGAGCACAGUUACAUCGCUGAGGAUUACGUGGAAGAGCUGCAGAAAUGGCGGUGCCCCGAUUACUAUGAGAACAACGUCCACAAGAUGCAGCUGCCGUUUUCCAGCAAGCUCCUGGGCAGCACCCUGACCGCUGAGGAGAAGCAGGAGCGGCGGCAGCAGCAGCUGCGGCGGCUGCAGGAGCUGAAUGCCCGGCGGCGGGAGGAGAAGCUGCAGCUGGAUCAGGAGCGGCUGGACCGGCUGCUCUAUGUGCAGGAGCUCCUGGAGGACGGCCAGAUGGAUCAGUUUCACAAGGCCCUGAUAGAGCUGAACAUGGACUCCCCGGAGGAGCUGCAGUCCUACAUCCAGAAGCUCAGUGCCGCAGUGGAGCAGGCGAAGCAGAAGAUCCUUCAGGCAGAAGUCAGCCUCGAGGUGGACGUGGUGGACAGCAAGCCAGAGACUCCUGACCUGGAGCAGCUCGAGCCGUCUCUGGAAGACGUGGAAAACAUCAACGAUUUCGAGCCCCUGUUUUCGGAGGAGACGCCGGAAGUGGAGAAGCCAGUGGCCACAGUCCAGCCCGUGUUUAACUUGGCAGCGUAUCAUCAGCUGUUUGUUGGGACAGAAAGAAUUCGAGCUCCAGAAAUUGUCUUCCAGCCAUCUCUCAUUGGAGAGGAGCAGGCUGGCAUAGCAGAGACCCUCCAGUACAUCCUGGACAGGUUCAGCUGGCCUCAAACCCCGUGCUGGACGCCUGGUACGGAGCUCGCGACUGGGCCUUGGACCACCUGGACAACGAGGACGUCUGGAUCACCAGGAAGGACUAUGAAGAGAAGGGGGGAGGCUACCUCAGGGAGCACUGCGCCUCCAACGUGUAUGUCCCCAUCCGCCUGCCCAAGCAGGCUUCGCGCUCCGCAGAGGCCCAGGCAUCCGGCAAGGGCUCCGGGGCCAGCGGAGGUGGGGCCGGCGAGCAGGCAUAGCGGACGGGCCCCUCCAGGGACCUGGGGCCAUGUCGGGACAGUGACUCUGCCAGCUGUGUACGGCCCGAGUCUGCUGGGAACAUUUGGCUGCGAGAUGGGUUUCUCCAGGGGAGGACAGUUAAGGGCCACCAGGAGUUACCCCUCGGAACUGUGCUCUUUGGGGCGUCUGCAGUGAAGGGACGAGCAGACUUUGGGACGUGCUGUCUUUGCUGUGCCGUGGAUGAGCCACAGGCUUCGCUUCUGCAGCAGUAAAUGAGAGUGAAUGAACGUGAUGGUGGCAGAGGUGUACAGACUGUGUACACAGGCGUCCUUCUUGCUACAUUUUAAAGCCGUUUUCGUUCUUGUUUUUAUUUUUUUUAAAUCUGUUAAAUUUUAUAUUGUCCGUGUAGCUAGUUUUGCAAAUUGAUUCCAAAACUGUGAAUGCCCAGCAGGUGGCGUUCUUUCAUCUUUACCUAAGAAGAUAACACUUCCGAGAACCAUCACCCAUGAACUCUCCAGGACUGGAAAUAUUUUCCUCCUCCUGUUAUUUCUGCUGAGAAAUAAGGAAAAGGGGCCCAAAGAUGGAAACGAGAUUGUCUGAAGUCAACUCCCUGAGGGCCCGCCCGGCUCCAGCUUCUGAAUGGGCAGGUGUGGGGCUGCCAGCAUCCUUCAUGCUUCCUUUGCUGGAGACUUUUCCACCGUGUGAGGCCUUCCUACAGUUUAAGAAGUUUCUGUCCCUGUGAAUUUGCUGGCCGCGUAACUUUGCAGGCCUUCCUGAAGAAAGAAACAGAUUGGAAAAGGUCCGUUGUGUUGCCUUUUCAGUUUUGCCACAACCUCAUCUUUCCUGGGCCUUUGCAGCUUCAUCUUAAAUGGAUGGAUAACCCCUCUCUUCUCCCGAGAUGGCUUGGGGAGAAUUAUAGCUCUCAGACACACCCAGUACUUAAGCCCAGGACGCCCCUGAGUUUCCUUGCCCCAGAAUCCAUGCGUUUAAAUCCUGUGGAGCCUCUGGGCCACCCCCUGAGGAAGCCACCUCAGAGCCAGUCCGUCCAUGGAGUUCACAUGCAGCUCCAGCUCUCCAGGGCUUUGACCCUGAAGACCAGGAAGGGGCAGUGGUGGAGGGGAAGGCGGCAGACCCGGCCAGCUCAAGAUGCCCCACGGCCUCGCAGAGAGCCACUGGCUGCCCACAGCCGGGCCUGGGGGCGGAUGAGAGGGUGAGCGUGAGCUGACAAGAAAGGACAGAUGCGAAGGAGGCAGGACCAGCCUCCGUGGAGAGGUUUUCAUAAUGAUGCUUCCAGGAAGAGGGGUUGGGUGAGCUGCUGAGGGCCUUGGGGGUCUUUCUCCACAGUCCAUGUUUUAAAUGGCCUGAAGAGCAGUGGUGAGAUGCAAAGAUUGCCCUGGACAUCCAGCCUUGCUGAGGAAGGACCCUGACUGGGCAGAGUUGCACCACCUUUCCCAGCCUCCCUCACAGUUACACAUGUAGCCAUUUGAUUUCUGGCCAGCGGGAUACGGAUGGAAGAGAUGUACAACAUCCAGGCAGGGCUGCUUCCAUAAACCUCCCACGAGAGCCUCUCUUUCCCCUUCGUCUGGCUGAACAGAGAGCUGUCCAAGGUCCAAGAGGAGCGUGGAACCAAAAGUGGAAGAAGCUGAGUCCUUAAACAACUGCUUGGAGCAGAGACCCUGCAAAUCCUUCAGUGUGUAAGAAAUAAACUUACUGUUUAAGCCAC